GGGCUUGCUAGUUCCUGUUAUUAACAGCAACCCUUCCUGACUGACACUUCCGCGGUACCAAAGACGUGUGCAGUACUCAAGACAACCAAGGCUGCAGUUUACAUUGUAGUGUCCCUGUGGUGAGAGACCGUCAUCAUUUUUAAUGCUGUUCACAAUGUUUUGGGUUGUCUACUUUCAGCAUCUCAGGAAGGUGGAGUAUUUGAUAAAAGUGGGGAAUGAACGAGGAAGAAGCAGAUACCUUUUGGAAUGCUAAUAAGAAGUAGAACUGGAGAGAUACAC